GCAAUGAUGUGGCCAAAGAGAGCUGACGUCACAAUUAUUGAUGCAGCAGAAAUCCGAUGCAAAUAGAAGCACAGAAAGACUUGGUGAGCACAAUUUGGUUUGGGGCAGAUCUGACCCUACACGUCAGGUUUUAAAGUUAGAGGUGUCGGAAUGAGUUUCCGACCAUCUGAUUGGGCAGAUCACAGAGCGGAGAGCCGUUAAAAUGGAUCAGAUGCCGGAGAAAUAUGGAAAAUUUGUGGGGCCAGAUUUGGGUCAAGACCUGACCUGGUCGAAUCUUCUUUUCCGGGCAGCUACAGGUGAUCAAAACAUAGCCGGAAGGGUCACCUAGACAUCGCUGGUGGAUUGGCAGUGGCAGCGGGUCUGUUUGGUGAGUAGACGGUGAUUGGUGUUGAAGGGACA
rnacentral:misc_RNA from 1 species